rnacentral:rRNA from 1 species
AUUGAACGCUGGCGGAAUGCUUUACACAUGCAAGUCGAACGGUAGAGGGGGCAACCCCUCGAGAGUGGCGAACGGGUGAGUAAUAUAUCGGAACGUGCCCAGUCGUGGGGGAUAACGUAGCGAAAGUUACGCUAAUACCGCAUACGAUCUAAGGAUGAAAGCGGGGGACCGUAAGGCCUCGCGCGAUUGGAGCGGCCGAUGUCAGAUUAGGUAGUUGGUGAGGUAAAGGCUCACCAAGCCAACGAUCUGUAGCUGGUCUGAGAGGACGACCAGCCACACUGGGACUGAGACACGGCCCAGACUCCUACGGGAGGCAGCAGUGGGGAAUUUUGGACAAUGGGCGCAAGCCUGAUCUAGCAAUGCCGCGUGCAGGAAGAAGGCCUUCGGGUUGUAAACUGCUUUUGUACGGAACGAAACGGCUCUCACUAAUACUGGGGGCUAAUGACGGUACCGUAAGAAUAAGCACCGGCUAACUACGUGCCAGCCGCCGCAGUAA